rnacentral:tRNA from 1 species
CGCGGGAUGGAGCAGUCUGGUAGCUCGUCGGCUCAAUAACCGAGGUCGUCGGUUCAAAUCCGGCUCCCGCAACCA